CUGUUACUGUUAAAGUGAUAUGCUAAUCGCGAUGACAUAAUCUGUUACUGUUUUGAUAUUAUGUUUUAAUAAAGAUAAGGCUGUGUGUAAUGACGAUGUUGUGGCCAUGAUUUAAAGUGACUACUUUGUGUUUUUAAAUAUUUGUUUAUAUCGCGGAAUGUAAAUAUAUCCACAUAACAUAGUGCUACGAGUUACUGACGUUUUAAUAGAGAAACAUGCAUGAAUGACAGAAUAAAUAGCGGGACAUGUAUGAUGUUACAGAAGGCCGCCGUUUGCUGAUCUUAUUUUUAAUAACAGUAUGAAAUAGUAAAAAUAACUAACGUUAUAUUGUUAUUUUAUUGUAAAAUAAAAUGUCUCACUGUGGAACAUGAAAAACUGGCAUACACUUGUUCAACAGAGAGGACAUGAAACCAUUCUUGGACUCUGAAGAAUACUAUGCAAACAAUGCUUUUGGAUCUACUGUUAAGUUUUUGUAAUAAAGCUGAGGUUUUGGGAUUGAAAAUCUUCUGCCACAUGAUCUUCCGUAAAAAAAAAAGUCAGUUAUGCAGAUUGGAAAAGACAUGGAUGCAGCAAGGAUCCAGCUGAUUACUUCAGAUUUGGUGGACUGCUCUUUAUCUGCUGUGACUGUCACUUCUGGUGCAGAAUCAUGGACCUUUAUUUGUAUGUUUUGAUUUGACUUAUUACACUUGUGUAGCUAGUAUUCAGGAUUAAAAUACAAUGUAAUUUUUGUCCUCAUAUAUUAUCAAAGCUAUAUGGAAUCCAAUAGGGUCAGUCAAAUAUUGAGAAAAAACACUAUAAACCUGAUUGGGAAAAUACAAGCUAAAAUACAGUUGCCUCCACAAUCUUUUUCAAAGAAAAAAUCAUGAU